UCGAACAAUGGCAAACAGGUAUGAGGCAGGCAAAACACAAGAAUAGUCCUAGGGCUAGCGUAGGUCAAUGAUCGGCAGACAGAAUCACAGGGGCGAGACGAGAGGGA